rnacentral:rRNA from 1 species
UACGGGAGGGCAGCAGUGGGGAAUAUUGCACAAUGGGCGCAAGCCUGAUGCAGCCAUGCCGCGUGUAUGAAGAAGGCCUUCGGGUUGUAAAGUACUUUCAGUCGUGAGGAAGGUGUUAAGGUUAAUAACCUUAGCAAUUGACGUUAGCGACAGAAGAAGCACCGGCUAACUCCGUGCCAGCAGCCGCGGUAAUACGGAGGGUGCGAGCGUUAAUCGGAAUUACUGGGCGUAAAGGGCACGCAGGCGGUUAAUUAAGUUGGAUGUGAAAUCCCCGGGCUUAACCUGGGAAUGGCAUUCAAGACUGGUUAGCUAGAGUCUUGUAGAGGGGGUAGAAUUCCAUGUGUAGCGGUGAAAUGCGUAGAGAUGUGGAGGAAUACCGGUGGCGAAGGCGGCCCCUGGACAAAGACUGACGCUCAUGUGCGAAAGCGUGGGGAGCAAAC